rnacentral:rRNA from 1 species
GAUGAACGCUGGCGGCGUGCUUAACACAUGCAAGUCGAACGAGAAGUGGAGACGGAAGCCUUCGGGAGGAAGGCUGUAUUUCGAGGGGCGGCCGGGUGAGUAACGCGCGGGUAACCUGGCUCAACCAGGGGGAUAACAGUUGGAAACGAGUGUAAAUACCGCAUAAGACGACAGCACCGCAUGAUGCGGGGGUGAAGACUCCGAUAGUAUGAGAUGGACCGGAGUUGCAUGAGCUAGGUGGCGGGGUAACGGACUACCACGGCGACGAUCGAUAGCCGACAGGAGAGGGUGAUCGGACACGCUGGAACUGAGACCGGGUCCAGACUCCUACGGGAGGCAGCAGUAGGGACUCUUCCGCAAUGGGCGAAAGCCUGACGGAGCAACGCCGCGGGAGUGAUGAAGGUCUUCGGAUCGGAAAACUCUGUUAUUAGGGAAGAACAUAUGUGUAAGUAACUGUGCACAUCUUGACGGUACCUAAUCAGAAAGCCACGGCUAACUACGUG